CCCAGUAGUGAGAAUACACCAUGACAUGAUCCCUGCACAAAUCAUUCCCUUUCCCCCAUCCCAAUUACACAAUUAACUCUGCAUUUAAUCAUGCAAGUGUCCGGUGCUCAGGUUUCUUGGGGGACGGGAAGUUCGCGGGACCAGGAAGUGCGUGUGAUGUCAGUGCUUGUUUGUGUGGUGCGACAAUGUAUGGAUUAACGGCGUGAAAUGGGUUAUAGAGCGGAUACAACUGGUACCUAGCUGAUCGCUAUGAUGGUGAAUGGCAAAUGGAUUCAAGACACCCUGUGCCAGAUGUAGCAAAGCAGCCCCAGAACAUAACCGAGCCUCCUCCAUGUUUCACAGUAGUGGUGUCCUCCUCGGUCCAGGUCCAGGGUACCAACAAUUUUGUCCACGUCUGUAUGUACACUUCUGACCUCAAGUGUAAAAAGUUUCAUCAGGUGUGAUGGGGACACAGAAAUGCAGGUUUGACCCAUUAAAAACAGUCCCUCCUUACCAUGAGAUCCGCUGGAAAGUUGCCGGUGAAACUCCUCUACUCAACACGCCUUUGCCUUCUAGUGGUCUUCAUCAUGUCAGAAGAUUACUUUGUGAGAAGGUGACAUCCCCCCUCUUCUCACUGACUCUCAAGAGAAGUUUGGCCCUGGUGUGGGGACUCCCCCGCCGCAAUGGUUGGGUCCGGGCUCCCUCACGAUAGUGGCUGGACCCGGGAGACCUAAUGGGUCCAAUUAAGCUCAACCGGUGCCUCAUUUUCAUGAGAGAGGACUUUAGAGAGAGAUUACCUUGGCAUGAAGGUAAAACCCUUCCCUGCUGUGAGGCGGAGUGUCUGUGUGUCUGUUUGUCUGUGUGUCUGUGUGUCUGUGUGUCUGAGUGUCUGUGUGUCUAGCUGUGUGUCUGUGUGUCUAGCUGUGUGGACACUGUUUCUCUGUGCUUUGUUGGUGUGCCUUGUUUAUUGUGCCUGUUUCUUUGUGCUUGUUUUGUUUGCCUUGUUUUGUACCGCUAGCUAAUGUACUCAGCAUCAUGCUUAGUGCCUGGGCCUAGUUUGGGGCCUGGCUUGUGCCCCGAGAGUGCCAGUAUUGGGCCUACAUGGGCCAAGCAGGUGCCGAGGGUGCCAGGACUUGAGUUACUGUGAGUACUGUUUUGUAUUUUGCUUUGUUUGUUUUAUUUUGUGGGCACCUGUUUAGGGGUUACUGGUGAGAGUCCCC
ensembl:lncRNA